AAAAUGAUAAAAGCUAUCAUUUUUUUUUCCAUUCUUUCUUCUUCAACCGUGGGAAAGAACUGAAAAUGGCAGCCAUGGAUGAGCUCCAUUCGGCCAAGCUUCUAUGGCUUAUAUAGGUACGGUUUUUGUCUCGUUUUUAAUGAUUUUCGUAUUUUUGAGAUCCCUGAAGCUUAAAUUUUCUAUUUCUACCAAUUGAUUGAAAAGAAAUUAGAGUUUAAAAAUUUACCCAUUCAUGAUAUGGUUGUGUUUUGAUGAUUUAUAGUGGAUAAUGAAUGUUUGAUGUGUUAAAUAUGAGUUUUAUUCAAUGAAUUUCGGUAAAAAUAUCAAAAAGGGGUUAAAUUGUAAAAGUUAUAAAUUGGUCAUAAGUGUGUGAAUUAGUGAAAAUUUGGAGUUGCCAUAGAAGAGAAAAAUGUUCAGCAUGUCUUAAACCUUAUAGAAAUUGAAUAAAAAUUAAUUUACGAGUAUUGGGGCAAAAGUGCAAAUAUGCAAAAGUUUAGGGGUCAAAAUGAAAAUUUGUAAAAAUAUGAUUUUUAGACCCAUAUGAAUAUUGUGACUGAUUGGUAGGCUAAAUGUGAUGUUAUAGAUGAUGAAAAUUGAGACUUGGACCUAGAACGGAAAGAAAUCGAUUUAUGGACGAGUAUGUCCUUUUCACCUUUGUGGUAUUGAGGUAAGUUCGUAUGUAAACAAUACCAUGCUAUACAUGUAUUUAAAUGUUAUCAUUACAUGAAUUGUACAGAUAUUAAGGUGUAUGUGAUUAAUAGAAAUAUGAUAAGACAAAGCCUUAAUAGACGAGGAAAAAUCCCGUUUGAACCUUAGGAAUAGAAUAGCAUACGAGUGACAUGUCACUAGGAAUUAUGAGUCUAUAUGACUAGCUCGAGAGUGAGCAUUGAAAUGUAAUGAGAUAUGAGGUAGCUUUAGCUACAAUUGAGGCACUUAUGUGCAAAGGCUUUUCCGAGUAUCCAAUUAGUAUUCCAAGUGUUCAACGGGCAAUCCAAGGAAAGAGUUGAUGAUGGUCCCAAUGAGGUAAGUCAUUGGUGAGUAUGCACUCGAGUUAUGUUACGAGUUGUGCAAGUAUGUAUACUAAUCCUAUGAGAAUGCCUUGAUAUGUGAUGAUCUAUGAUGCAUAAUAUGUGUUCUUACUAUGAUGGAUAAAAUGGUGUUGUAUUAAUAUUAUGAACGAUGACCAUGAAUGAGUAACUUAGCCUUAACAGAUUUGAGUUAUUGCAGUAGUGUAAUUUUGAAAAUACACUAAAAAUAGUGGAAAAUGAGUUAGAGGCAGAAUAAAAUAUGGGAUUAAAGCUUAAUGAGUCUAUUUUCACAUGAAAGAAAUAGAGGAAGAAAAAGAAUUCUAUAUUGUGUGAUAUUUAAAUUCUUGUGAAACAGGGUCUGAAUGAAUUUGAGAUCCCCUGUUUUGAUUUUAUAAAUUCACCGUAAAUUGUACAAAAAAUUAUUAAGAGUCAUACCUUACCUGCAUAGAUUCCUUAUUGAGUCUAUUUUUAAGGGCAACAAACAGCAUGGUCAUUGGAAUUCUGUACAUGGAGAAAUUUGAUUCGUAGUGCAUAGGGGUCAGAGUAGUCAUACCCUGAAACAGGGGAAAAUUUAACUAAUAAAAUGUACUAAAUGGAUUUACCAAAAAUUCUAGAAAAAAAUUAGUAAGUAGAAAUAUGAGUCUAGUUUCAAGAGAAAUAGACGAGAACAUUAUUCGAAUCCUGUACUAUGAGAUAAUUGAACUUUAGUGCAGAAGGGUUGAAAUUGUCAGACAGUGAAUCAGGAGCAAACUUGAGGAAUAAAAUGUACUAAUUGGCUAAGUCAAAAAUUCUGGAAAUUUUAUGAAAGAAAGAUAAAUGAGUCUAGUUUCAGGUAAAAUUAACGGAACUUAAUUUUGAGUUUCGUAGCUCCAGAUAUAAAUAAUUUAGUGACUGUUGAGCAGGAAGACAGCUUGUAGUGAACUUGAGAAUAUGUUGUAAACAUUGAUAAAACAAGUUAAUGAGUUGCUUAUUGUUUUCAUAUGAACUUACUAAGCGAAAGCUUACCCCCCUUCUUUCCCAUGUUUUCUAGAGUUUCCAGGUUAGCUCGGGUUGGAGGCCGUCAGAGAUAUUAUCACCCUAUCGAGUUAACGUUAUCUGAGUAAGUAAACUCAAGUGAUUUGAGUCUAUGGCAUGUAUAGGGUUUUAAUGUGAGUAUGUAAUAUUAUGAUUUAGCCAAAGGCAUUGGCUUGUUAUUAAGGUAGUAUUAGUCAUGUAAAUUGGCCUAUUUUGGCUAAUGACAUUAUGGGCCUAUAUGAUUAUUCUUAUGCAUGUAUGUUAUUAUCUCUUGUGAUGUGGCUUACAACAUGUAUGCCUGGAGAUUGAAUUGAGAUUCAUUGAUGAGCUAGUAACUAAUGCAGGAUUAAGUGAUUGGUAAAUAGUUAAUAAUGCUUCAUGAAUGGUUUGUGAUGUAAUGAUAGUUAUGUCUAGUAUGUGGUAAUGAUAUGGGCAAAUUCUAUAAUAUUUAUUGCAUAAGAAAAUAACUUGAGCAUAACAUGUUUGUAGAUGUUUAAGAGCUCAUUUAUGCCACGUUGUUUGUUAUUGGAUAAGUAUGUAUCUAUGCAUGUGGUGUGAGAGUGACAAAAGGCUUGAUAAUUAGCCUAUUUCUGGCCACACGACCUGAGCACAUGGGCGUGUGAAGCCUUAACGCAAGAGAUUUUUCUAAGUUUUUCAUGAGUUUUCGAUUGGGUCCCGAACCGCCCCGAAUGCAUGUAUUGGGCCUCGUAAGCUCGCAUAAGGGACAAAUUGCAUGUGAAAAGAAAAGUUUUUAAUUAUUUGAGAUUUUAUGGCCCUAUUUAGUAUGAAAAUGUUAGUAAAAGUCAGGUAGCACCUCGAACCCCGUCC
rnacentral:lncRNA from 1 species